rnacentral:rRNA from 1 species
GCUGGCGGCAGGCCUAACACAUGCAAGUCGAACGGAGUUAUAUUGUAGCUUGCUAUGGUAUAACUUAGUGGCAGACGGGUGAGUAAUGUAUAGGAAUCUACCUAGUAGUACGGAAUAAUUGUUGGAAACGGCAACUAAUACCGUAUACGCCCUACGGGGGAAAAAUUUAUUGCUAUUAGAUGAGCCUAUAUUAGAUUAGCUAGUUGGUGGAGUAAUAGCCUACCAAGGCAAUGAUCUAUAGCUGAUCUGAGAGGAUGAUCAGCCACACUGGAACUGAGAUACGGUCCAGACUCCUACGGGAGGCAGCAGUGGGGAAUAUUGGACAAUGGGCGAAAGCCUGAUCCAGCCAUGCCGCAUGAGUGAAGAAGGCCUUUGGGUUGUAAAGCUCUUUUAGUGAGGAAGAUAAUGACGGUACUCACAGAAGAAGUCCUGGCUAACUCCGUGCCAGCAGCCGCGGUAAUACGGAGAGGGCUAGCGUUAUUCGGAAUUAUUGGGCGUAAAGGGCGCGUAGGCGGAUUAGUAAGUUAAAAGUGAAAUCCCAAGGCUCAACCUUGGAAUUGCUUUUAAAACUGCUAAUCUAGAGAUUGAAAGAGGAUAGAGGAAUUCCUAGUGUAGAGGUGAAAUUCGUAAAUAUUAGGAGGAACACCAGUGGCGAAGGCGUCUAUCUGGUUCAAAUCUGACGCUGAAGCGCGAAGGCGUGGGGAGCAAACAGGAUUAGAUACCCUGGUAGUCCACGCUGUAAACGAUGAAUGUUAAAUAUGGGAAGUUUUACUUUCUGUAUUACAGCUAA